rnacentral:rRNA from 1 species
GAUGAACGCUGGCGGCGUGCCUAAUACAUGCAAGUCGAGCGAACAGACGAGGAGCUUGCUCCUCUGACGUUAGCGGCGGACGGGUGAGUAACACGUGGAUAACCUACCUAUAAGACUGGGAUAACUUCGGGAAACCGGAGCUAAUACCGGAUAAUAUAUUGAACCGCAUGGUUCAAUAGUGCAAGACGGUUUUCCUGUCACUUAUAGAUGGAUCCGCGCCGCAUUAGCUAGUUGGUAAGGUAACGGCUUACCAAGGCAACGAUGCGUAGCCGACCUGAGAGGGUGAUCGGCCACACUGGAACUGAGACACGGUCCAGACUCCUACGGGAGGCAGCAGUAGGGAAUCUUCCGCAAUGGGCGAAAGCCUGACGGAGCAACGCCGCGUGAGUGAUGAAGGUCUUCGGAUCGUAAAACUCUGUUAUUAGGGAAGAACAAAUGUGUAAGUAACUAUGCACGUCUUGACGGUACCUAAUCAGAAAGCCACGGCUAACUACGUG